UACAGAGGGGGCAAGCGUUGUUCGGAAUUACUGGGCGUAAAGGGCGCGUAGGCGGCCCUUCUAAGUCGAACGUGAAAUCCCCGGGCUCAACCCGGGAACUGCGUCCGAUACUGGAAGGCUUGAAUCCGGGAGAGGGAUGCGGAAUUCCAGGUGUAGCGGUGAAAUUCGUAGAUAUCGGGAGGAACACCGGUGGCGAAGGCGGCGACCUGGGUAGAUACUGACGCUGAGGUGCGAAAGCGUGGGGAGCAAACAGG
rnacentral:rRNA from 1 species